GAUGAACGCUGGCGGCGUGCCUAAUACAUGCAAGUCGAGCGAACGGACGAGAAGCUUGCUUUUCUGAUGUUAGCGGCGGACGGGUGAGUAACACGUGGAUAACCUACCUAUAAGACUGGGAUAACUUCGGGAAACCGGAGCUAAUACCGGAUAAUAUUUUGAACCGCAUGGUUCAUAAGUGAAAGACGGUCUUGCUGUCACUUAUAGAUGGAUCCGCGCUGCAUUAGCUAGUUGGUAAGGUAACGGCUUACCAAGGCAACGAUGCAUAGCCGACCUGAGAGGGUGAUCGGCCACACUGGAACUGAGACACGGUCCAGACUCCUACGGGAGGCAGCAGUAGGGAAUCUUCCGCAAUGGGCGAAAGCCUGACGGAGCAACGCCGCGUGAGUGAUGAAGGUCUUCGGAUCGUAAAACUCUGUUAUCAGGGAAGAACAUAUGUGUAAGUAACUGUGCACAUCUUGACGGUACCUAAUCAGAAAGCCACGGCUAACUACGUG
rnacentral:rRNA from 1 species